AUUGAACGCUGGCGGCAGGCCUAACACAUGCAAGUCGAGCGAGCGGAGGACGGGUGAGUAAUGUAUGGGAACCUGCCUGAUGGAGGGGGAUAACUACUGGAAACGGUAGCUAAUACCGCAUACCAUCAGAUGUGCCGAGAUGGGAUUAGCUAGUAGGGGGGGUAAUGGCUCACCUAGGCGACGAUCCCUAGCUGGUACGGGAGGAUGACCAGCCACCCGGGAACUGGGACAGGGUCCAGCCCCCUACGUGAGGCAGCAGUGGGAAAUAUUGCACAAUGGGGGCAAGCCUGAUGCGGCCAUGCCGCGUGUGUGAAGAGGGCCUUCGGGUUGUAAAGCACUUUCAGCGAGGAGACGUUACUCGCCGAAGAAGCACCGGCUAACUCCGUGCCAGCAGCGCGGUAAUAC
rnacentral:rRNA from 1 species